UACACUCCUACGGGAGGCAGCAGUGGGGAAUUUUGGACAAUGGGCGAAAGCCUGAUCCAGCAAUGCCGCGUGUGUGAAGAAGGCCUUCGGGUUGUAAAGCACUUUUGUCCGGAAAGAAAUCCUUGGCUCUAAUACAGUCGGGGGAUGACGGUACCGGAAGAAUAAGCACCGGCUAACUACGUGCCAGCAGCCGCGGUAAUACGUAGGGUGCGAGCGUUAAUCGGAAUUACUGGGCGUAAAGCGUGCGCAGGCGGUUUGCUAAGACCGAUGUGAAAUCCCCGGGCUCAACCUGGGAACUGCAGUGGUGACUGGCAGGCUAGAGUAUGGCAGAGGGGGGUAGAAUUCCACGUGUAGCAGUGAAAUGCGUAGAGAUGUGGAGGAAUACCGAUGGCGAAGGCAGCCCCCUGGGCCAAUACUGACGCUCAUGCACGAAAGCGUGGGGAGCAAACAGGAUUAGAAACCCGUGUAGUCCC
rnacentral:rRNA from 1 species